UACGUAGGGUGCGAGCGUUGUCCGGAAUUACUGGGCGUAAAGCGCACGUAGGUGGCGACGUAAGUCGGGUGUGAAAGCCCCGGGCUCAACCUGGGAAUUGCAUUCGAGACUGCAUUGCUGGAGUACGGAAGAGGAAGGCGGAAUUCCCGGUGUAGCGGUGAAAUGCGUAGAUAUCGGGAGGAACAUCAGUGGCGAAGGCGGCCUUCUGGUCCAGUACUGACGCUGAGGAGCGAAAGCGUGGGGAGCAAACAGG
rnacentral:rRNA from 1 species